AGAAAUAAGAAGCGUGUGAUAAAUGGAAAUAAAUAAUCUUUUUAUAACUAUCAUUUUCUUUAUCGUAACGAGUUUGGUGGUUAAGACAUAACAGGAUAACGCAGAUCGUUUCGACGGAUUACUCCGAAUUAUUCAGACAUAAACGUCACGAGAUUCGCGUCUAUGAUUAAGGGGUUACUUCACCUUGACUGCCUAAAAAUCAUAG